UACAGAGGGUGCGAGCGUUGUUCGGAAUUAUUGGGCGUAAAGGGCGCGUAGGCGGUGCCACAAGUCACUUGUGAAAUCCCCGGGCUUAACCCGGGGCCUGCAGGCGAAACUGUGGUGCUGGAGUAUGGGAGAGGUGCGUGGAAUUCCCGGUGUAGCGGUGAAAUGCGCAGAUAUCGGGAGGAACACCGGUGGCGAAGGCGGUUCUCUGGGCCUGUUCUGACGCUGAGGAGCGAAAGCGUGGGGAGCAAACAG
rnacentral:rRNA from 1 species